rnacentral:rRNA from 1 species
UCAAACACAGCCAUAGCACAUUGCAGCCCAAGACCGGUUACUCACUGAAGCUAAGCAGGGCUGAGCCUGGUCAGUACCUGGAUGGGAGACCACAAGGGAACAGUAGGUUGCUGUUGGAA